GACGAACGCUGGCGGCGUGCUUAACACAUGCAAGUCGAACGAAGAGCGAUGGAAGCUUGCUUCUAUCAAUCUUAGUGGCGAACGGGUGAGUAACGCGUAAUCAACCUGCCCUUCAGAGGGGGACAACAGUUGGAAACGACUGCUAAUACCGCAUACGAUCUAAUCUCGGCAUCGAGGAUAGAUGAAAGGUGGCCUCUACAUGUAAGCUAUCACUGAAGGAGGGGAUUGCGUCUGAUUAGCUAGUUGGAGGGGUAACGGCCCACCAAGGCGAUGAUCAGUAGCCAGUCUGAGAGGAUGAACGGCCACAUUGGGACUGAGACACGGCCCAGACUCCUACGGGAGGCAGCAGUGGGGAAUCUUCCGCAAUGGACGAAAGUCUGACGGAGCAACGCCGCGUGAGUGAUGACGGCCUUCGGGUUGUAAAGCUCUGUUAAUCGGGACGAAAGGCCUUCUUGCGAAUAGUGAGAAGGAUUGACGGUACCGGAAUAGAAAGCCACGGCUAACUACGU
rnacentral:rRNA from 1 species